UACAGAGGGUGCAAGCGUUAAUCGGAAUUACUGGGCGUAAAGGGUGCGUAGGUGGUUAGAUAAGUUAGGUGUGAAAGCCCCGGGCUUAACCUGGGAAUUGCGCCUAAUACUGUUAGACUAGAGUACUGUAGAGGAAGGUGGAAUUUCCGGUGUAGCGGUGAAAUGCGUAGAUAUCGGAAGGAACAUCAGUGGCGAAGGCGACUUUCUGGACAGAUACUGACACUGAGGCACGAAAGCAUGGGGAGCAAACAGG
rnacentral:rRNA from 1 species